rnacentral:rRNA from 1 species
GGGGAAUAUUGCACAAUGGGCGAAAGCCUGAUGCAGCGACGCCGCGUGAGGGACGACGGCCUUCGGGUUGUAAACCUCUUUCAGCAGGGACGAAGCGAAAGUGACUGUACCUGCAGAAGAAGCACCGGCUAACUACGUGCCAGCAGCCGCGGUAAUACGGAGGGUGCAAGCGUUAUCCGGAUUUAUUGGGUUUAAAGGGUGCGUAGGCGGUUUGAUAAGUCAGCGGUGAAAUAUUUCAGCUUAACUGGAAGGGUGCCGUUGAUACCGUCGAGCUUGAAUUUAGUUGCUGUGGGUGGAAUGUGUGGUGUAGCGGUGAAAUGCAUAGAUAUCACACAGAAUAUCGAUUGCGAAGGCAGCUUACAAAGCUAAUAUUGACGCUGAUGCACGAAAGUGUGGGGAUCAAAC